UUGCUGUCAGUUGCCAUCAUUAAGUUGGGCACUCUGGCGGGACUGCCGGUGAUAAAUCGGAGGAAGGUGGGGAUGACGUCAAAUCAUCAUGCCCCUUAUGUCCUGGGCUACACACGUACUACAAUGGCUACUACAACAGGAAGCGAAGCCGCGAGGUGGAGCGAAUCCCCAAAAGUAGCCUCAGUUCGGAUUGCAGGCUGAAACUCGCCUGCAUGAAGUCGAAAUUGCUAGUAAUUGCAGGUCAGCAUACUGCCAGUCGAAUACGUUCCCGGGCCUU
rnacentral:rRNA from 1 species